GGUGCACACAGUUGGAGCUUGGAGCUGAGGCCAGUUUCUGGCCAAGGAACUCUCAAGUGUAGGAAGUGUGCUACAGUAACCUGGCAGGACUUUUCGCUGGCGCCAUGAGGGUCUCUGUGGCCCAAUGAGUGGAGUUUGAUAGUCGUUCCUGCCACAGCU
rnacentral:snoRNA from 1 species